GGAGAGCAGAAGUGGGGGGUUGACGCAGGAUCAGAGAAUUAUAGCAAGCUCGAUGCCAGCCAAACCAUUUCAUUGCAAAGACACAAUUACAAAGGCUCGUAUGGACUGCAUCUGUAGAGAUGGCUGCUCUGACACAUGUCCAUGUCCUUUGUCUGAACUGUCAUAGAGAGUGGUGGCCCUGAAUACACUCCUUGUACGCAUGUCCAAAUGCUGCUGUGUCUUCAGAACCAGGACACCUGCAGUAUUACCAACAGGUGCCAGUGACUUCUGGAAAACACAUGACUGUAGCUUCAUGGCCCUCACACUCUGCCUACAACCCUUCUUCUUCAGCCAAUCUCUUCAUGUCUCAUUUUGUGUGUAGUUCAACAACUUUAAUAAGACUUGCUUGUUUAAAGGUAAUGCACACACUGAACCCUGGGCAGGAGAGGAUGCCCCGAGAUGUAAUCUAAGUGGCUUCCAAAGGCAAGGCAUACAUACUCUCUUGGCUCCCUCAUUCCUCCCUGUUAGCCUGCUCUAAAGACCUUCCUUUCUGAAGAAAACUCCCCAUAUAACGCAUCAAGCACUUCAGAUGAUGAAGAUGUCUCCAAGUGCCUCAUGAGAAAGAGUCUUGCUGGAGAAGGUUCAGAGGUUCAGUCCAUUAUCAUCGGAGCAGGAAACAUGGCAUCAUCCAGGCAGACAUGGUGCACAAGGAGCUGUGAGUUCUGUAUCUGGAUUAGAAGGCCUCCAGAAGACUGGCUUUCAGGGUGUUAGGAGAAGGGUCUCAAAGCCUAUGUCCAAAGUGACACACUUCUUCCUAAAAGGCCACAUCUAUUCUAACAAGGCCACACCUCCUAAAAGUACCACUCCCUGGGCCAAGAAGAAUUUAAGCUAAUUUUAAAAUUAAAUGUAGAAUUCCGUUAGGGGAGGUUAAAAUGUAGACAUUCCAAGUGGACAUAGUAGCUAUGUCUAGUAGAAGCAUU
rnacentral:lncRNA from 1 species